rnacentral:rRNA from 1 species
AACGAACGCUGGCGGCAGGCCUAACACAUGCAAGUCGAGCGAACCCUUCGGGGUUAGCGGCGGACGGGUUAGUAACGCGUGGGAAUAUACCCUUUGGUACGGAAUAGCCUCGGGAAACUGAGAGUAAUACCGUAUGUGCCCUUCGGGGAAGAUUUAUCGCCAAAGGAUUAGCCCGCGUUGGAUUAGAUAGUUGGUGGGGUAAUGGCCUACCAAGUCUACGAUCCAUAGCUGGUUUGAGAGGAUGAUCAGCAACACUGGGACUGAGACACGGCCCAGACUCCUACGGGAGGCAGCAGUGGGGAAUCUUAGACAAUGGGCGCAAGCCUGAUCUAGCCAUGCCGCGUGGACGAUGAAGGCCUUAGGGUUGUAAAGUCCUUUCAGAUGGGAAGAUAAUGACGGUACCAUCAGAAGAAGCCCCGGCUAACUCCGUG